AUUGAACGCUGGCGGCAUGCUUUACACAUGCAAGUCGAACGGUAGAGGGGGCAACCCCUUGAGAGUGGCGAACGGGUGAGUAAUGCAUCGGAACGUGCCCAGUCGUGGGGGAUAACGCAGCGAAAGCUGUGCUAAUACCGCAUACGAUCUCUGGAUGAAAGCGGGGGACCGAAAGGCCUCGCGCGAUUGGAGCGGCCGAUGUCAGAUUAGGUAGUUGGUGGGGUAAAGGCCUACCAAGCCAACGAUCUGUAGCUGGUCUGAGAGGACGACCAGCCACACUGGGACUGAGACACGGCCCAGACUCCUACGGGAGGCAGCAGUGGGGAAUUUUGGACAAUGGGCGCAAGCCUGAUCCAGCAAUGCCGCGUGCAGGAAGAAGGCCUUCGGGUUGUAAACUGCUUUUGUACGGAACGAAACGGUCUGGGUUAAUACCCUGGGCUAAUGACGGUACCGUAAGAAUAAGCACCGGCUAACUACGUGCCAGCAGCCGCCGUAA
rnacentral:rRNA from 1 species